CGGGGCAUAGCUCAGCCUGGUAGAGCGCUACGUUCGGGACGUAGAGGUCGUUGGUUCAAAUCCAGCUGUCCCGACCA
rnacentral:tRNA from 1 species